UACGAAGGGAGCGAGCGUUGUCCGGAAUUACUGGGCGUAAAGAGCACGUAGGCGGCUAUAUGAGUUGGGUGUGAAAUCCCAGGGCUUAACCCUGGAACUGCACUCAAUACUGUAUAGCUAGAGACCGAGAGAGGAAAAUGGAAUUACGAGUGUAGAGGUGAAAUUCGUAGAUAUUCGUAGGAACACCAGAGGCGAAAGCGAUUUUCUGGCUCGGUACUGACGCUCAGGUGCGAAAGCGUGGGGAGCAAACAGG
rnacentral:misc_RNA from 1 species